rnacentral:lncRNA from 13 species
UCAUACAAGGUAGAUAAAAUACUUGAUUUUGGUUUAAUAUACUCUGAAGAAGGGUGUGUGUAUGCUCUCCUGAAAUCUAAUACUUGGAGCUCUGGUAGACACACAGCAUAUUACACACUGUGCAGGUAGACACAGCAUAUCACACACUGUGCAGGUAGACACACAGCAUAUUAAACACUAUGCAGGUAGACACAGCAUAUUACAUGCUGUGCAGGUAGACACAGCAUAUUACACACUGUGCAGGCAGACACAGCAUAUUACACACUGUGCAGGUAGACACACAGCAUAUUACACACUGUGCAGGCAGACACAGCAUAUUACACACUGUGCAGGUAGACACACAGCAUAUUACACACUGUGCAGGUAGACACACAGCAUAUUACACACUGUGCAGGCAGACACACAGCAUAUUACACACUGUGCAGGCAGACACAAAGCAUAU